rnacentral:rRNA from 1 species
CCUACGGGAGGCAGCAGUGGGGAAUAUUGCACAAUGGGCGCAAGCCUGAUGCAGCGACGCCGCGUGAGGGAUGACGGCCUUCGGGUUGUAAACCUCUUUCAGUAGGGAAGAAGCGAAAGUGACGGUACCUGCAGAAGAAGCGCCGGCUAACUACGUGCCAGCAGCCGCGGUAAUACGUAGGGCGCAAGCGUUAUCCGGAAUUAUUGGGCGUAAAGAGCUCGUAGGCGGUUUGUCGCGUCUGCUGUGAAAGACCGGGGCUCAACUCCGGUUCUGCAGUGGGUACGGGCAGACUAGAGUGCAGUAGGGGAGACUGGAAUUCCUGGUGUAGCGGUGAAAUGCGCAGAUAUCAGGAGGAACACCGAUGGCGAAGGCAGGUCUCUGGGCUGUAACUGACGCUGAGGAGCGAAAGCAUGGGGAGCGAACAGGAUUAGAUACCCUGGUAGUCCAUGCCGUAAACGUUGGGCACUAGGUGUGGGGGACAUUCCACGUUUUCCGCGCCGUAGCUAACGCAUUAAGUGCCCCGCCUGGGGAGUACGGCCGCAAGGCAAAACGUCAAAUGAAAUUGACGGCNGAGAGUGACGACGGACGACGACGAGGGAGGAGG